AUUGAACGCUGGCGGCAGGCCUAACACAUGCAAGUCGAGCGAGCGGCGGACGGGUGAGUAAUGUCUGGGAACCUGCCUGAUGGAGGGGGAUAACUACUGGAGAUGGUAGCUAAUCACGCAUACAAUCAGAUGUGCCCAGAUGGGAUUAGCUAGGAGGUGGGGUAACGGCUCACCUAGGCGACGGUCCCUAGCUUGUCUGAGAGGAUGACCAGCCCACCUGGAACUGAGAAAAGGUCCAGACUCCCACGGGAGGCAGCAGUGGGGAAGAUUGCACAAUGGGCGCAAGCCUGAUGCAGCCAUGCCGCGUGUGUGAAGAAGGCCUUCGGGUUGUAAAGCACUUUCAGCGGGGAGGCGUUACCCGCAGAAGAAGCACCGGCUAACUCCGGGCCAGCAGCCGCGGUAAUAC
rnacentral:rRNA from 1 species